rnacentral:lncRNA from 1 species
GUUUACCAAGCAUUUUACAGGGGAGGGAGUUAAGUACAGAGAGGCUAAAUAAUUUGGCCAAGUUAUUCAGCUAGGAAGAUAUGGAAUCUCAAUUAAGAGUUCAUGUUCUUAACCACGACUCUAUACAACCUCUCAUCAUUAAGUCUUGUAAAGAAGUUUUGGAGCAGAGAAAAGGUCACCUGUUUCUUCCUACCCUGCUUCCACCUUGUGCCCUGGAGGUUUUUCGUUCAUUCAUUCAUUCAUUCAUUUAUCUAUUGAUUCUCACAUUCUCCCAUUUAUUCCACUUAGCCACUAAUAUUGGAGUGGUCACAACCUGACAAAAUCUCUUCUAGGUGGUGGAGAUAAAGUGGACAAGACAGAUAAUAUCAGUGCUCUAAACUCUCUCAGUAUAAAAUACACAAGUUUUGCCUUUUUUUUUUCUAUUUUUCUUUCUCUCAUGAGAAUAAGAACUCCUUUCUCCUCUAAGCCUCUCCAGCUUGUUCACUGCAGAAAAGCAAAAGCUGUCUGUUGGAUGUUAGAGAUAAAAGACUGAAAGUGCAAAGUCCUGUGGGUCAUGAACACAUGAUUAUGAAGAAGUUCAAGAUUCCAUUCCUUUUUUCCGAACCAGAUUUUGCAUCUGAACUCAGGCAUUUUUCCCCCUUGCCAACUAGCUGAUUAUGAUUC